rnacentral:rRNA from 1 species
UACGUAGGUGGCGAGCGUUAUCCGGAAUUACUGGGUGUAAAGGGCGCGUAGGAGGGUAUGCAAGUUGGAUGUGAAAUUCCGGGGCUUAACUCCGGAUUGUCAUCUAAAACUGUGUAUCUUGAGUGUCAGAGGGGAAAGUGGAAUUCCUAGUGGAGUGGUAAAAUGCGCAGAUAUCAGGAGGAACACCGAUGGCGAAGGCAGGUCUCUGGGCCAUAACUGACGCUGAGAAGCGAAAGCAUGGGUAGCGAACAGGAUUAGAUACCCU